UGACAGUAUCCUACGGGAGGCAGCAUGGGGGAAUAUUGCACAAUGGGCGCAAGCCUGAUGCAGCAACGCCGUGUGAGUGAAGAAGGUUUUCGGAUCGUAAAACUCUGUCCUAAGGGAAGAAACAAAUGACGGUACCUUAGGAGGAAGCCCCGGCUAACUACGUGCCAGCAGCCGCGGUAAUACGUAGGGGGCAAGCGUUAUCCGGAAUCACUGGGCGUAAAGGGUGCGUAGGCGGCUUAGCAAGCCAGGGGGUGAAAGGCAUUGGCUCAACCAAUGUAAGCCUUUGGAACUGUUAAGCUUGAGUGCAGGAGAGGUAAGUGGAAUUCCUAGUGUAGAGGUGAAAUUCGUAGAUAUUAGGAGGAACACCAGUGGCGAAGGCGACUUACUGGACUGUAACUGACGCUGAUGCACGAAAGCGUGGGUAGCGAACAGGAUUAGAUACCCUGGUAG
rnacentral:rRNA from 1 species